rnacentral:rRNA from 1 species
AGGAUCGCCGUGCUGUACAAGUCGACUUUUCUUUCAUUUCCAAGACUAUGUUUUUAUAUACACCAAAGUAUGUUUAAAGAAUGUCGUCAAUAGGAACUUGUUUCCUAUAAAAUUAUACAACUUUCAGCAACGGAUCUCUUGGCUCUCGCAUCGAUGAAGAACGCAGCGAAAUGCGAUAAGUAAUGUGAAUUGCAGAAUUCAGUGAAUCAUCGAAUCUUUGAACGCACCUUGCGCUCCUUGGUAUUCCGAGGAGCAUGCCUGUUUGAGUGUCAUUAAAUUCUCAACCUUCCAGCUUUUAUUAGCAUGGUUAGGCUUGGAUGUGGGGGUUGCGGGCUUCAUCAAUGAGGUCGGCUCUCCUUAAAUGCAUUAGCGGAACUUUUGUGGACCGUCUAUUGGUGUGAUAGUUAUCUACGCCGUGGAUGUGAAGCAGCUUUAUGAAGUUCAGCUUCUAACCGUCCAUUGACUUGGACAAUUUUGACAAUUUGACCUCAAAUCAGGUAGGACUACCCGCUGAACUUAAGCAUAUCAAUAAGCGGAGGAAAAGAAACUAACAAGGAUUCCCCUAGUAACUGCGAGUGAAGCGGGAAAAGCUCAA